GUCCCUGUAGCACAAUGGAUAGCGUGUUGGACAUCUAAUCCAAAGGUCGUUGAAGGAAUCCCUCCUGGGAUG